AAAGAUCACUGGUUGCAUUGGGGAGAAUGGAUUAGAAAGGACGCAGUUAGAGGCGUGGAGAACAAUUGGACUCGUAGGACUCAGUCCUUUUCCCUGGAACCAAACCUUAACAACUAAAUUUUACAUAUUCCAGACAAUUGGGACAAACAUUGUCUGGCCAACUGUUCCUAAGGUUUCAGAAAUUCAGCAGGUCCUUUAUCAAUGCUCUCUGCUGCCCCCGUGGGGAUGACUUUUUCCAAGUCAUUGGUUAUCCUGCAGGCCACGACAAAAACAGCCUUGUCUCACCAACCACACCAGUUAAUUAGAAAAUUAGUCAGUUCUUCUUUGGUUGAUUGUUCAAUCAAAUAAAAA
rnacentral:lncRNA from 1 species